GAUGUUGAAGGACGAAUUGGUUAAUAUAGACAAAUACUCCAAGAAAAGGAACAAAUUCAACAAAAAAACUAUGGAGGAAGCCUUGAUUCAAUGUGUAAACUACCAUUCGGACAUUUUAAAGUUUGCAGAGAAUGGACAAACGUUGGUGAGUCGCCUUUCAUUUGCCCACAUCAUAUCUGCAAGUAUUAUCAUGGGUUGCCUGAUCUACAAAUUGUAUGCGAUGCCGAGUGACGUCUAUGAAGUCGGAAAACUAAUAUUAAUCAUGUGUGCCUUGUUUUUGCAACUGUU